UGAGGAAUAUUGGGCAAUGCCCGCAAGGGUGACCCAGCAACGCCGCGUGGAGGAUGAAUGUCGUAAGAUUGUAAACUCCUGUUAGAGGGGAAGAAUAGUACCGGUUGGACCGGUAUAUGACUGUACCCUCAGAGAAAGCCCCGGCUAACUACGUGCCAGCAGCCGCGGUAAUACGUAGGGGGCAAGCGUUGUCCGGAUUUACUGGGUGUAAAGGGCGCGCAGGCGGGAUAAAAAGUCAGUGGUGAAAUCCUACAGCUUAACUGUAGAACUGCCUUUGAUACUUUUAUUCUUGAGUUCGGGAGAGAGAGACGGAAUUCCAGGUGUAGUGGUGAAAUACGUAGAUAUCUGGAAGAACACCAUUUGCGAAGGCGGUCUCUUGGUCCGACACUGACGCUGAGGCGCGAAAGCGUGGGGAGCAAACA
rnacentral:rRNA from 1 species